UACGUAGGGGGCUAGCGUUGUCCGGAAUCAUUGGGCGUAAAGCGCGUGUAGGCGGUUCGGUAAGUCCGCUGUGAAAGUCGGGGGCUCAACCCUCGGAUGCCGGUGGAUACUGUCGGGCUUGAGUACGGAAGAGGCGAGUGGAAUUCCUGGUGUAGCGGUGAAAUGCGCAGAUAUCAGGAGGAACACCAAUUGCGAAGGCAGCUCGCUGGGACGUUACUGACGCUGGGACGCGAAAGCGUGGGGAGCAAACAGG
rnacentral:rRNA from 1 species